rnacentral:misc_RNA from 1 species
GCCACCCAGCCUCAUAACAGCACUUUCUCCAAUCACUGGUACAGAAUCGCAUUACCACAUUAUAAAGCAAGGCCAAUUCAUUCACUUAGAUGAUCUCUGCUUGGCUCAUAUAUAUUUGUUCGAGAAUCCUAAAGCACAAGGACGGUACAUAUGCUCCUCAGAUGAAGCCACCAUUUAUGAACUUGCGAAAUUGCUCAGAGAAAAAUACCCAGAAUAUAAUGUUCCUUCAAAGUUCAAGGGCAUUGACGAGAACUUGCAGAAAAUAGUUUUCUCAUCGAAAAAGCUGACGGACUUGGGAUUUGAAUUCAAAUACAGCUUGGAGGAUAUGUUUACUGGAGCUAUAGAAACAUGCAGAGCAAAGGGAUUAAUUCCUGUUUCUUAUGAGCCUUCUGUUU